GAAAACCUAUCUAAAAUUUUGGACGGGUCGGGUCGAAUAAAACCCGUUUCAUUGCGAAGCCAUGAAAACAGAAAACGAUGAGAAUUGAGAAGUCAUCGAAAUUGAAACGUUCUCCCCAAAAACCAAAACCCUUAUUACUCUCUUAGAUUUUGGAUCUCAAUUUCACGAUAAAAACGUGUUUAUUGAAUUGCAAAUUGAAAUUCCAGGCGCAUAUUCGAGGCCUCAAUGCAUACUAUCGCCACACAAAAAUACAUCAAUGAUUGCGGGAAAUGACUUCAGUUUCAGCCAGUUGAUAACUUUGAUGAGUUUCUUGAGGAGAUGUUUCCCUGAUUUUAGCCUUAUUGAUUACCGGACCUGAAAAGCCCAUCCUAACAUUAAAGUUGGGCAGAGCGGCAGCCCCUAAAAUACAGGAAUCAUGUGAUUAAAAAGAUGACAUGAUUUAUAAAAGUUAUAAAAAUUGUACUGUACUAACUGGUUCAACUAGAAAAAUGAUGAGUUAGUUCUCAUAAAAUAAUUAUAUCAGUCAUGUAAUGAUAUUGGUCAAAACUAAUCAUACCGGCUAGUUUUCAUU